UUAUAUUAAAAAAAGAAAAAAAUGGGUGACCUAGUAAACCAGUUCCCUGAAAAGAAAAGCUCAUAAUUUCCUCUCACCUCUAUCCGAUUUCUUUGCUUUCUCAAAAGAAAAAUCCCUAAAAUUUCAUCUCUUAAAUUCAUAGUUUCUCUCAUCCCAAUUUUUUCACUCAACAAGAUCAAAUCCACGGUCUCUCUCGCACUAAGCAACCAAUCGGAUCCAUCUACUCAAGUAUUUUGUUUGUACACGAGAGGUAGAGAGAGGCAGAGGCAGAGCCAGUAUCGCGCGUUGCUUCUUUUCCAACCGUCCACCGUUCCUUUGUUGCAAUGUUGUCUAUCAUUGUAUUGGAAAGUAGCUUGACAAUCACCUUAGAUAGAAAGAGGUUACUUAAUCCCACAGUAACUACUAUCGAAGGCUUUUUUUUAAACUUAAGCUCAAACUAUAUUGAAAAGUGAAGUCGAAAUUAUAUAACAACUACGGAAAGCUCCAAAACUGGAAUGAAUUGCCGCGGCUUCUUAUAUUACGUCCUAUCAGCUUUUUUAGUGAUUUCUAAUAUUAUUUUGGAACACUAUGAAUAACAAAUAGAAAAAUUUUAAGCCAUAUUCUUAGUUAACACAAAUGGAUGCAAUAACAAGCAAGAUUAGGAUACUUAACGGCCUGGCAUAUAAUUCAUGGCCAUCUUGAUCAAAUCCGGGGAAUUUUUGGUUAGAUGCUGAGCCACAGUCAUUGUCACUGCAGUCGACUUGAGGGUUUGGACCGACAUAAUCUUUGCCGAGUUUUCUUAUCACCACGAUCAACACAAGGAUAAAAGCAUCUGCCAUAAUGUCUUGCAGUAAGGAGUCGUACGGCCAUCACAUGAGCUAUACUUUUCAGUCUAUACUUGCCGGCUGAUGCUACAAUGCCGGGCACUAAAGGCUCGGCACCAUGCCAGAAACGAAAAAAAACCGUUAGAUUCAAUUAUAUUGAAUCCAACGGUUGAGAUUAAUUUUAUAUUAAAAAAAGAAAAAAAUGGGUGACCUAGUAAACCAGUUCCCUGAAAAGAAAAGCUCAUAAUUUCCUCUCACCUCUAUCCGAUUUCUUUGCUUUCUCAAAAGAAAAAUCCCUAAAAUUUCAUCUCUUAAAUUCAUAGUUUCUCUCAUCCCAAUUUUUUCACUCAACAAGAUCAAAUCCACGGUCUCUCUCGCACUAAGCAACCAAUCGGAUCCAUCUACUCAAGUAUUUUGUUUGUACACGAGAGGUAGAGAGAGGCAGAGGCAGAGCCAGUAUCGCGCGUUGCUUCUUUUCCAACCGUCCACCGUUCCUUUGUUGCAAUGUUGUCUAUAGCAUGAGCUGCCAUCGAAUCAGCUGCAGGAAGCUUUUAGGGUGGCGUAUCCUGGAAUGGAACCAAAAAAAGAGUUGAGGUUUAUGUUUGGAGUCAUUCUUGGAC
rnacentral:lncRNA from 1 species